CCUACGGGGGGCAGCAGUGAGGAAUAUUGGUCAAUGGGCGCGAGCCUGAACCAGCCAAGUCGCGUGAGGGAAGACGGUCCUAUGGAUUGUAAACCUCUUUUGUCGGGGAGCAACGCCGGCUACGUGUAGCCGGACUGAGAGUACCUGAAGAAAAAGCAUCGGCUAACUCCGUGCCAGCAGCCGCGGUAAUACGGAGGAUGCGAGCGUUAUCCGGAUUUAUUGGGUUUAAAGGGUGCGUAGGCGGAAUGCCAAGUCAGCGGUAAAAUCGCGGGGCACAACCUCGCUCCGCCGUUGAAACUGGCGUUCUUGGGUGGGCGAGAAGUAUGCGGAAUGCGUGGUGUAGCGGUGAAAUGCAUGGAUAUCA
rnacentral:rRNA from 1 species